UACGAAGGGGGCUAGCGUUGCUCGGAAUCACUGGGCGUAAAGGGUGCGUAGGCGGGUCUUUAAGUCAGGGGUGAAAUCCUGGAGCUCAACUCCAGAACUGCCUUUGAUACUGGAAGUCUUGAGUCCGGAAGAGGUAAGUGGAACUGCGAGUGUAGAGGUGAAAUUCGUAGAUAUUCGCAAGAACACCAGUGGCGAAGGCGGCUCACUGGCCCGGUACUGACGCUGAGGUGCGAAAGCGUGGGGAGCAAACAGG
rnacentral:rRNA from 1 species